GACGAACGCUGGCGGCGUGCUUAACACAUGCAAGUCGAACGGAAAGGCCCUGCUUUUGUGGUGUUCUCGAGUCGCGAACGGGUGAGUGACACGUUAGUACCCUGCCCUUCUCCUUGGGACAACUUCAGGACAUUGGGGCUAAUACCGUAUAGGCCCUUCUGCUGCCAGGUGGGGGUUGGAAUGUUUCGGCGGUUGGGGAUGGACUCGCUGCGGAUCAGUUUGUUGGUGGGGUAGUGGCUGAGCAGGGCUUCGACGGGUAGCCGGCCUGAGAGGGGGACCGGCAACCUUGGGACUGAGAUACGGCCCAGAGUCCUACGGAAGGCAGCAGUGGGGAAUAUUGCACAAUGGGGCGAAGCCGGAUGCAGCAAGGCGGCGUGCGGGAUGACGGCCUUCGGGUUGAAAACCGCUUUGGCCGGUAACGAAGCGUGAGUGACGGUAACGUGUAAAGAAGCACCGGCUAACUACGUG
rnacentral:rRNA from 1 species